rnacentral:rRNA from 1 species
AUUGAACGCUGGCGGCAUGCCUUACACAUGCAAGUCGAACGGCAGCACGGGAGCAAUCCUGGUGGCGAGUGGCGAACGGGUGAGUAAAGUAUCGGAACGUGCCCAGGCGUGGGGGAUAACGUAGCGAAAGUUACGCUAAUACCGCAUACGAUCUAUGGAUGAAAGCGGGGGAACGCAAGACCUCGCGCGAUUGGAGCGGCCGAUAUCAGAUUAGGUAGUUGGUGGGUUAAAGGCUCCCCAAGCCGACGAUCUGUAGCUGGUCUGAGAGGACGACCAGCCACACUGGGACUGAGACACGGCCCAGCCUCCUACGGGAGGCAGCAGUGGGGAAUUGUGGACAAUGGGCGGAAGCCUGAUCCAGCCAUGCCGCGUGCAGGAUGAAGGCCUUCGGGUUGUAAACUGCUUUUGUACGGAACGAAAAGGUUUGGCCUAAUAAGCUGAGCUCAUGACGGUACCGUAAGAAUAAGCACCGGCUAACUACGUGCCAGCCGCCGCCGUAA